GACGAACGCUGGCGGCGUGCUCAACACAUGCAAGUCGAACGGUAAGGCCCUUCGGGGUACACGAGUGGCGAACGGGUGAGUAACACGUGGGUGAUCUGCCCCGCACUUCGGGAUAAGCCUGGGAAACUGGGUCUAAUACCGGAUAGGACUCCUGGCUUCAUGGUUGGGGGUGGAAAGCUUUUGCGGUGUGGGAUGGGCCCGCGGCCUAUCAGCUUGUUGGUGGGGUAAUGGCCUACCAAGGCGACGACGGGUAGCCGGCCUGAGAGGGUGACCGGCCACACUGGGACUGAGAUACGGCCCAGACUCCUACGGGAGGCAGCAGUGGGGAAUAUUGCACAAUGGGCGCAAGCCUGAUGCAGCGACGCCGCGUGAGGGAUGACGGCCUUCGGGUUGUAAACCUCUUUCAGCACCGACGAAGCGCAAGUGACGGUAGGUGCAGAAGAAGGACCGGCCAACUACGUGCCAGCCGCCGCAGUAA
rnacentral:rRNA from 1 species